GUCCGUAAUAAAUUCUGUUUCUUAAUGACAAAAAUAUAGGUGUGUUGUGCACGAGACGACUAUUCUAACCCGGCGUAAGACAAAAGACGAUCUAACAAACCAGAUCAUCAGGAUGUCCCUGUACAGCACUUUACUACUGAUACCGUGUGUAUUUUAUGUUUCUGCCUACGAAAGUUACAUCGAUCUGAUUCCAAAUGGAGAAAAUGUUAAAUAUACAUCCUGCUCCAAUUUAACAAAUUGGCAGGCGGUCGGACACGUUACUGCAGGAUACACAGGAAAUCCAUUUCAACGAAACCUAUUUGGAGAGGCUUUUGCGGCUGCUAAUUAUACCUGGACGGCAGAUCUGUGUAAUGCCGAUUCGGACAUGGAUGGUAUGAAAAACGGUGACGAGCUUGGUUUCAUUAACUGUACUCUUGCAAGUGUCUGGCGUACUGACCCUUCCUCGGUCACCCUUACAACACCUGAGGGUCAUCCAGGUAUUUGUGAGGUGACUGCAGAUACCCCAGCUGGUGUCAACUGUGACUCAGUCAACGCUGAUAUCCCGGCUGCUCAGUGUUAAUAAAUUAGCCUAUAGCUACAGCAUAAUAGUUACGGUGACGACAAAGACGAGGAUCUAUACUACGGGAUCAAUUCACCAAUCAGCUAUCGCGAGUACCUGCACGUGCGCCUGGAAGUGUGACGUAACCAUCAUCUGAAAAAUGAAAUUAAUAGAGGGAGUAUUACUAAAUUGAAGAUGGAGUGCAUAGCAUUACAAAUCAAAAAUACCUAUAUAAAAUCAAAAUCACGUGUGACCAUCGAAAUCACUGUUUGAAUAAAAUCUGCAUUGAAAAUCAAAGUGAUUUGACCGAUAUCAACAAAUGACAACCACAGCAUACAGAGCAAAGCAAAGUUUCAAGUAAUCAGUAUUUAAAUACUGAAUGUCACUUAAAUUAUUGAAUUGCGAGAAAGUUGUGUAGCAUUUUGGAUAGAUAGUUGAAAUUGCUGUGUAUUGUGAGAACCAGAAUUAGCUGUUCAGGUGUUUUUUUUAUGUGGAAUUAGUGUUUUCAGUUAAUUACCCAAUAACUUUGUGUAAAAUGACAUGAUUUGCACGGCGUAAUGUAAUGGCUAAUCCUUAAGUUACUUUCGAUUUUUGUGACAAGUUUGAUUUUGUCUGCCAAACUUAUUGGUGUUAAAGCUAAUGAUUUUUUCUGUUUGUUUUUUUUAAGCGGAAUUUGAAAUAUUUUGAUAGCGUUUUUUUCUUAAUAAAUCGGACUUUUUCUAAAAUGUCA